GUGCCACAGCAACAGAGCUCCAGUUGUGUCUUGUAAGAAUUGGUCAUUGUUUCAUGGGGACGACUGGCUCCUUUGGGUGGGAUCUGAUGGCAUCUCAUGGAGUUGAGGUUGUCUGCCAACGCUAACUGGCCAGCUCUGACAGGAGGUGCGUGGCCCAGGAGGAGCCAUCAGGCCAGUUCUCUGGGAUACUGCUGUGUCUCCAGCUCUGCAGUUUGCUCUUCGUCACUCAGCGGCAGACGGAGAGGCAGACACGAGCCCCUUGUGAGCCCUCCUCCUUACCGUCAUCUCACAAUGCUCUGAAAUAAGGAGGCAAAUGGCUGAGGUCCCCUCAGUUAGUCUCGCUCUGUCCCAGGCUGGAGUGCCGUGGUGUGGUCUUGGCUCACUGCAACCUCUGCCUCCCGUGUUCAAGCGAUUCUCCUACCUCAGCCUCCCGAGUAGCUGGGAUUACAGGUAGAUGUGAUUGAGUUCUAUCUACCAGAAGCAUAUGCCUCCUGGAAGCCUGGUUCUAACACCUCCCACAAAAUCCUUCAAGCACUUUUUUCUGUUCCAAGGUUUGCUUAUGGGGGACCCAGUGAAGUGCUUCAGAGCCCUAGAGAUUUGCUGAGUCAUAUGAGGGGUCAGCAAACUUUUCCUGUAAAGGGUCAGAUAAUAAACAUUUUAAGCUUUGUAGACUGUA
rnacentral:lncRNA from 10 species